rnacentral:rRNA from 1 species
AUUGAACGCUGGCGGCAUGCCUUACACAUGCAAGUCGAUCGGUAACAGGUGUAGCAAUACAUGCUGACGAGAGGCGGACGGGUGAGGAAUAUUUGGGAAUCUGCCCAUCAGCGGGGGACAACCCGGGGAAACUCGGGCUAAUACCGCAUACGCUCUACGGAGGAAAGCCGGGGACCGCAAGGCCUGGCACUGAUGGAUGAGCCCAAAUCGGAUUAGCUAGUUGGCGGGGUAACGGCCCACCAAGGCGACGAUCCGUAGCUGGUCUGAGAGGACGAUCAGCCACACCGGAACUGAGACACGGUCCGGACUCCUACGGGAGGCAGCAGUGGGGAAUAUUGGACAAUGGGGGAAACCCUGAUCCAGCGACGCCGCGUGGGUGAAGAAGGCCUGCGGGUUGUAAAGCCCUUUCGGUAGGGAAGAAAUCUCUUGUCUUAACACGGCAAGGGUUUGACUUAACCUACAUAAGAAGCACCGGCUAACUCUGUGCCAGCAGCCGCCGUAACAC